AUGCGGCUCUCUGAGCUGCUGACUCUCGCCGGCGCCGCGCUGCUCUGCAUCGGCGUGGCCAGCGGGCAGCAGCCGGCAGGCAGCGUGCCGUCGACCGUCACGCGGGAGGCGUUCGAUUCCAUGCUGGGCGGCCGCAACAUGAGCGGGUGCGAGGGAGGCGCGUUCUACACCUACGACGCGUUCCUGGCGGCGGCCAACUCGAGCGUGUUCCGCGGCUUCGGCACCACCGGCGACGACGCGACCCGCCGGCGGGAGCUCGCCGCCUUCUUCGGGCAGACCUCCUUCGUAACCACCGGUUACUGCUACGUGAAGGCGGUGAACCGAGCGAGCGCGCCCUACUACGGCCGAGGCCCCAUACAGCUGACGACCGAGGACAAUUACCGGCAGGCAGGGAGGGCGCUGGGGCUGGACCUGCUGCGCAACCCGGACCUGGUGUCCACGGACCCCGUCGUCGCCUUCAAGACGGCCAUCUGGUUCUGGACGACGGCGCCGGCGCCGAGUACGUCGUGCCACGCGGUGAUGACCGGCGGCUGGACGCCGUCCGCCCAAGACCGCGAGGCCGGGUUGCUCCCCGGGUACGGCAUGACCACCUACAUCCUCAACGGCGGGACGGAGUGCAACCAAACCUCCGCGGCGGCCCAGGACAGGGUCAACAACUACUACAAGAAGUACUGCGACAUCCUCCAAGUGGGGUAUGGCGACAACACCUUCUGUCAGAACGACGAGCUGGCUCAACCGCCAUCGUCGUCUCUGCAUCCUCCUCCUCCAGGAACCCCAGGAGAACCAUCGCCUCCACCACCGUCAAGGAGUGUUCUGAUCGGCGUCUCUAGUUCAAUCUCCCUCUUGAUCAUUAUUGGCUCCUUGAUCUGUUUCAUUUUAUGGCGGCGGCGAAAGCAAGCUGAAAUCCACGAGGAAGCAAUGGAGCAUGGGUCGGAAGAGGGUAACCUCUUCGACGUUGAUCAGGCCAUGGAAGACGAUUUCGAGAAAGGCUCCGGGCCCAAGCGGUUUCGUUACAAGGAUCUGGUCGUCGCCACCGGCAAUUUCUGUGAUGAGAACAAGCUCGGACAAGGAGGCUUUGGCUCCGUGUAUAGAGGGUUUCUGAAUGAAUUGAACCUUCAAGUUGCUAUCAAGAGGGUCUCCAAGGGCUCCAAGCAGGGGAGGAAGGAGUACGCCUCUGAGGUGAGGGUCAUAAGCCGGCUCCGGCACAAGAACCUCGUGCAGCUCAUCGGCUGGUGCCACGAAGGCGGCAAUCUGCUCCUCGUCUACGAGUUGAUGCCCAAUGGCAGCCUCGACGGGCAUCUCUACGGCGCCAAUAACGUCGUGCUCCCAUGGUCUGUAAGACACGAGAUUUUGCUCGGAUUAGGCUCGGCGCUUCUCUACCUACACCAGGACUGGGACCAAUGCGUCCUGCACAGGGACAUCAAGCCAAGCAACAUCAUGCUAGACGCGUCGUUCAAGGCCAAGCUCGGCGACUUCGGGCUCGCCAAGCUCGUCCAGCACGGCCGAAGAUCACUGACGACAGAUUUCGCAGGCACGAUGGGGUACAUGGACCCGGAGUGCAUGACCACCGGCAAGACCAAUCCCGAGUCAGAUGUGUAUAGCUUCGGCGUCGUCCUCCUCGAGACUGCUUGCGGCAGGCGGCCUGUGGUGGUAGCUCAGCGGGAGGAGGACGCAGUCCACCUAGCUCAGUGGGUCUGGGAUCUGUAUGGCAAGGGGAGGAUUCUGGACGCCGUUGACGAGCGAUUGGGUGGAGAGUUUGAUGCCCAGGAGAUGGAGCGUGUGAUGAUUGUUGGGCUCUGGUGUUCUCAGCUCGACUUCAAAAUGAGACCGUCUAUCAGGCAGGCUGUGAACGUGUUGCGGUCAGAGGCGCCCCUCCCAAGUCUCCCUGCGCUGAUGCCGGUUGCAUAUUACAUGCCUCCAGCUGGUACACAAAGUUUUACAUCUUCGUCUGUAACAACUGGCAGCAGCGGUGGCACUUCUACAUCUUCGGUGGUAGCAUCAGCGCGACCACCACCCAGUCAACAUUGA
rnacentral:rRNA from 1 species